rnacentral:rRNA from 1 species
AGAGGGGUGCAAGCGUUGUUCGGAUUUAUUGGGCGUAAAGGGCGCGUAGGCGGCCUGGCAAGUCGGAUGUGAAAGCCCUCGGGCUCAACCGAGGAAGUGCAUCCGAAACUGCCUGGCUUGAGUGCUGGAGAGGGUGGUGGAAUUCCUGGUGUAGAGGUGAAAUUCGUAGAUAUCAGGAGGAACACCUGUGGCGAAGGCGACCACCUGGACAGACACUGACGCUGAGGCGCGAAAGCGUGGGGAGCAAACAGGAUUAGAUACCCUGGUAGUCCACGCCGUAAACGAUGGGUACUAGGUGUUGCGGGUAUUGACCCCCGCAGUGCCGACGCUAACGCAUUAAGUACCCCGCCUGGGAAGUACGGCCGCAAGGCUA